UACGUAGGGUGCAAGCGUUGUCCGGAAUUAUUGGGCGUAAAGAGCUCGUAGGCGGUCUGUCGCGUCGGCUGUGAAAACUCGGGGCUCAACUCCGGGUCUGCAUUCGAUACGGGCAGGCUAGAGUUCGGUAGGGGAGAUCGGAAUUCCUGGUGUAGCGGUGAAAUGCGCAGAUAUCAGGAGGAACACCGGUGGCGAAGGCGGAUCUCUGGGCCGAUACUGACGCUGAGGAGCGAAAGCGUGGGGAGCGAACAGG
rnacentral:rRNA from 1 species